rnacentral:rRNA from 1 species
UUGGUUAAGUUAGAAAGGGCGCACGGUGGAUGCCUUGGCACUAGGAGCCGAAGAAGGACGGGACUAACACCGAUAUGCUUUGGGGAGCUGUACGUAAGCGUUGAUCCAGAGAUUUCCGAAUGGGGGAACCCACUAUCUUUAGUCGGAUAGUAUCCUUACGUGAAUACAUAGCGUGAGGAAGGCAGACCCAGGGAACUGAAACAUCUAAGUACCUGGAGGAAGAGAAAGAAAAAUCGAUUUCCUGAGUAGCGGCGAGCGAAACGGAAAGAGCCCAAACCAAGAAGCUUGCUUCUUGGGGUUGUAGGACACUCUAUACGGAGUUACAAAAGAAAGUUAUAAAUGAAGCGGUCUGGAAAGGCCCGCCAAAGACGGUAACAGCCCGGUAGUUGAAAUGGCUUUCCCUCCAGAGUGGAUCCUGAGUACGGCGGAACACGUGAAAUUCCGUCGGAAUCCGGGAGGACCAUCUCCCAAGGCUAAAUACUCCCUAGUGACCGAUAGUGAACCAGUACCGUGAGGGAAAGGUGAAAAGCACCCCGGAAGGGGAGUGAAACAGUUCCUGAAACCGUGUGCCUACAAGUAGUUAGAGCCCGUUAAUGGGUGAUAGCGUGCCUUUUGUAGAAUGAACCGGCGAGUUACGAUUUGUUGCAAGGUUAAGCGGAAAAAGCGGAGCCGUAGCGAAAGCGAGUCUGAAUAGGGCGCAUAAGUAACAGGUCGUAGACCCGAAACCAGGUGAUCUACCCAUGUCCAGGAUGAAGGUAAGGUAAUACUUACUGGAGGUCCGAACCCACGCACGUUGAAAAGUGCGGGGAUGAGGUGUGGGUAGCGGAGAAAUUCCAAUCGAACUUGGAGAUAGCUGGUUCUCUCCGAAAUAGCUUUAGGGCUAGCCUCGAGGUAAAGAGUCAUGGAGGUAGAGCACUGUUUGGACUAGGGGCCCUUCUCGGGUUACCGAAUUCAGAUAAACUCCGAAUGCCAUGUACUUAUACUCGGGAGUCAGACUGCGAGUGAUAAGAUCCGUAGUCGAAAGGGAAACAGCCCAGACCACCAGUUAAGGUCCCCAAAUAUAUGUUAAGUGGAAAAGGAUGUGGGGUUGCUUAGACAACCAGGAUGUUGGCUUAGAAGCAGCCACCAUUGAAAGAGUGCGUAAUAGCUCACUGGUCGAGUGACCCCGCGCCGAAAAUGUACCGGGGCUAAACAUAUUACCGAAACUGUGGAUGAACCUCUUUAGAGGUUCGUGGUAGGAGAGCGUUCUAAGGGCGGUGAAGUCAGACCGGAAGGACUGGUGGAGCGCUUAGAAGUGAGAAUGCCGGUAUGAGUAGCGAAAGAAGGGUGAGAAUCCCUUCCACCGAAUAUCUAAGGUUUCCUGAGGAAGGCUCGUCCGCUCAGGGUUAGUCGGGACCUAAGCCGAGGCCGAUAGGCGUAGGCGAUGGACAACAGGUAGAGAUUCCUGUACCAGUGCUAAUUGUUUAACCGAUGGGGUGACACAGAAGGAUAGGGAAUCGCACGAAUGGAAAUGUGCGUCCAAGCAGUGAGUGUGAGAAGUAGGCAAAUCCGCUUCUCGCGAAGCAUGAGCUGUGAUGGGGAAGGAAAUUAAGUACGGAAGUUCCUGAUUUCACGCUGUCAAGAAAAGCCUCUAGGAAGAGUAGUACUGCCCGUACCGCAAACCGACACAGGUAGAUGAGGAGAGAAUCCUAAGGUGAGCGAGAGAACUCUCGUUAAGGAACUCGGCAAAAUGACCCCGUAACUUCGGGAGAAGGGGUGCUCUAUUAGGGUGCAAGCCCGAGAGAGCCGCAGUGAAUAGGCCCAGGCGACUGUUUAGCAAAAACACAGGUCUCUGCAAAACCGUAAGGUGACGUAUAGGGGCUGACGCCUGCCCGGUGCUGGAAGGUUAAGAGGAGUGCUUAGCUUCGGCGAAGGUACGAAUUGAAGCCCCAGUAAACGGCGGCCGUAACUAUAACGGUCCUAAGGUAGCGAAAUUCCUUGUCGGGUAAGUUCCGACCCGCACGAAAGGCGCAACGAU